ensembl:lncRNA
AGUGUUUGUGUUGUUGAGGUAUCCAGUGUUUGUGUUGUUGAGUUAUCCAGUGUUUAUGUGUGUGUUGUUGAGGGAUCCAGUGUUUGUGUCCAUUGUUGAGGUAUCCAAUGUUUGUGUUGUUGAAAUAUCCAGUGUUUGUGUGUGUUGUUGAGGUAUCCAGUAUUUAUACAUGUGUUGUUGUGGUAUCCAGUGUUUAUGUGUGUUGUUGAGGUAUCCAGUAUUUAUAUAUGUGUUGUUGAGGUAUCCAGUAUUUAUAUAUGUGUUGUUGUGGUAUCCAGUAUUUAUAUAUGUGUUGUUGAGGUAUCCAGUAUUUAUAUAUGUGUUGUUGUGGUAUCCAGUGUUUAUGUGUGUUGUUGUGGUAUCCAGUAUUUAUAUAUGUGUUGUUGAGGUAUCCAGUAUUUAUAUAUGUGUUGUUGAGGUAUCUGGUAUUUUUAUAUGUGUUGUUGUGGUAUCCAGUGUUUAUGUGUGUGUUGUUGAGGGAUCCAGUGUUUGUGUCCAUUGUUGAGGUAUCCAGUGUUUGUGUGUAUUGAGGUAUCCAGUGUUUAUGUGUGUUGUUGUGGUAUCCAGUAUUUAUGUGUGUUGUUGUGGUAUCCAGUGUUUAUGUGUGUUGUUGUGGUAUCCAGUGUUUAUAUGUGUUGUUGAGGUAUCCAGUAUUUAUAUAUGUGUUGUUGAGGUAUCUGGUAUUUAUAUAUGUGUUGUUGUGGUAUCGUGUUUAUGUGUGUUGUUGAGGGAUCCAGUGUUUGUGUCCAUUGUUGAGGU